rnacentral:rRNA from 1 species
AGUGAACGCUGGCGAUAGGCCUAACACAUGCAAGUCGAACGGCAGCACAGUAAGAGCUUGCUCUUACGGGUGGCGAGUGGCGGACGGGUGAGGAAUACAUCGGAAUCUACUUUUUCGUGGGGGAUAACGUAGGGAAACUUACGCUAAUACCGCAUACGACCUACGGGUGAAAGCAGGGGAUCUUCGGACCUUGCGCGAUUGAAUGAGCCGAUGUCGGAUUAGCUAGUUGGCGGGGUAAAGGCCCACCAAGGCGACGAUCCGUAGCUGGUCUGAGAGGAUGAUCAGCACCACGGGAAUGGAGACACGGCCCAGACCCUCACGGGAGGCGGAAGGGGGGAAUUUUGGACAAGGGGCGCAGGCCUGAUCAAGCCAUGCCGCGUGGGUGUAGAAGGCCUUCGGGUUGUAAAGCCCUUUUGUUGGGAAAGAAAAGCAGCAGGUUAAUACCCCGCUGUUCUGAGGGAACCAAAAAAAUAAGCACCGGCAAAAUUCGU